GGAUGGGUGGCCGAGCGGUUUAAGGCACCGGUCUUGAAAACCGGCGAGGUGCAAGCCUCCGUGGGUUCGAAUCCCACCCCCUCCGCCA
rnacentral:tRNA from 1 species